GGUAGAUCAGAGGUUGAGGUAUGGUAGAUCAGAGGUUGAGGUAUGGUAGAUCAGAGGUUGAGGUAUGGUAGAUGAGAGGUUGAGGUAUGGUAGAUGAGAGGUUGAGGUGUGGUAGAUCAGAGGUUGAGGUAUGGUAGAUCGGAGGUUGAGGUAUGGUAGAUCAGAGGUUGAGUUGGGGUAUGGUAGAUCAGAGGUUGAGGUAUGGUGGAUCUGAGGUUGAGUUGAGGUAUGGUGGAUCUGAGGUUGAGUUGAGGUAUGGUAGAUCAGAGGUUGAGGUAUGGUAGAUCAGAGGUUGAGUUGAGGUAUGGUAGAUCAGAGGUUGAGUUGAGGUAUGGUAGAUCAGAGGUUGAGGUAUGGUGGAUCAGAGGUUGAGUUGAGGUAUGGUAGAUCAGAGGUUGAGGUAUGGUGGAUCAGAGGUCUCUGAGGUAUGGUAGAUCAGAGGUUGAGGUAUGGUGGAUCUGAGGUUGAGUUGAGGUAUGGUGGAUCUGAGGUUGAGUUGAGGUAUGGUAGAUCAGAGGUUGAGGUAUGGUAGAUCAGAGGUUGAGGUAUGGUGGAUCAGAGCUUGAGGUAAUGUAGUGAGAGAUUGAGUUGAAGUAUGGU
ensembl:lncRNA